GUGGGGAAUUUUGGACAAUGGGCGAAAGCCUGAUCCAGCAAUGCCGCGUGUGUGAAGAAGGCCUUCGGGUUGUAAAGCACUUUUGGCAGGGAAGAAACAGUGCGUGCUAAUACCAUGCGCGAAUGACGGUACCUGCAGAAUAAGCACCGGCUAACUACGUGCCAGCAGCCGCGGUAAUACGUAGGGUGCAAGCGUUAAUCGGAAUUACUGGGCGUAAAGCGUGCGCAGGCGGCUUUGUAAGACGGAUGUGAAAGCCCCGGGCUCAACCUGGGAAGUGCAUUGGUGCCUGCACGGAUAGGAUGUGUCAGAGGGAGGUGGAAUUCCGCGUGUAGCAGUGAAAUGCGUAGAGCUGCGGAGGAACACCGAUGGCGAAGGCAGCCUCCUGGGAUAACACUGACGCUCAGGCACGAAAGCGUGGGGAGCAAACAGGAUUAGAAACCCUUGUAGUCC
rnacentral:rRNA from 1 species